rnacentral:rRNA from 1 species
GAUGAACGCUGGCUACAGGCUUAACACAUGCAAGUCGAGGGGAAACGACGGGGAAGCUUGCUUCCCCGGGCGUCGACCGGCGCACGGGUGAGUAACGCGUAUCCAACCUGCCUCUGACUGAGGGAUAACCCGUCGAAAGUCGGCCUAAUACCUCAUGGCAUCGUCUGCGGGCAUCCAACGACGAUUAAAGAUUCCAUCGGUCAGGGAUGGGGAUGCGUCUGAUUAGCUUGUUGGCGGGGUAACGGCCCACCAAGGCUACGAUCAGUAGGUGUUCUGAGAGGAAGGUCCCCCACAUUGGAACUGAGACACGGUCCAAACUCCUACGGGAGGCAGCAGUGAGGAAUAUUGGUCAAUGGGCGGGGGCCUGAACCAGCCAAGUAGCGUGCAAGAUGACGGCCCUAUUGGUUGUAAACUGCUUUUAUGCGGGGAUAAAGUGAUGGACGUGUCCUUCAUUGCAGGUACCGAAUGAAUAAGGACCGGCUAAUUCCGUG